rnacentral:rRNA from 2 species
UCUGGGAAACUGCCUGAUGGAGGGGGAUAACUACUGGAAACGGUAGCUAAUACCGCAUAACGUCGCAAGACCAAAGUGGGGGACCUUCGGGCCUCAUGCCAUCAGAUGUGCCCAGAUGGGAUUAGCUGGUAGGUGAGGUAAUGGCUCACCUAGGCGACGAUCCCUAGCUGGUCUGAGAGGAUGACCAGCCACACUGGAACUGAGACACGGUCCAGACUCCUACGGGAGGCAGCAGUGGGGAAUAUUGCACAAUGG